rnacentral:rRNA from 1 species
GACGAACGCUGGCGGCGUGCCUAAUACAUGCAAGUCGAACGCUUCUUUCCUCCCGAGUGCUUGCACUCAAUUGGAAAGAGGAGUGGCGGACGGGUGAGUAACACGUGGGUAACCUACCCAUCAGAGGGGGAUAACACUUGGAAACAGGUGCUAAUACCGCAUAACAGUUUAUGCCGCAUGGCAUAAGAGUGAAAGGCGCUUUCGGGUGUCGCUGAUGGAUGGACCCGCGGUGCAUUAGCUAGUUGGUGAGGUAACGGCUCACCAAGGCCACGAUGCAUAGCCGACCUGAGAGGGUGAUCGGCCACACUGGGACUGAGACACGGCCCAGACUCCCACGGGAGGCAGCAGUAGGGAAUCUUCGGCAAUGGACGAAAGUCUGACCGAGCAACGCCGCGUGAGUGAAGAAGGUUUUCGGAUCGUAAAACUCUGUUGUUAGAGAAGAACAAGGACGUUAGUAACUGAACGUCCCCUGACGGUAUCUAACCAGAAAGCCACGGCUAACUACGUGCCAGCAGCCGCGGUAAUACGUAGGUGGCAAGCGUUGUCCGGAUUUAUUGGGCGUAAAGCGAGCGCAGGCGGUUUCUUAAGUCUGAUGUGAAAGCCCCCGGCUCAACCGGGGAGGGUCAUUGGAAACUGGGAGACUUGAGUGCAGAAGAGGAGAGUGGAAUUCCAUGUGUAGCGGUGAAAUGCGUAGAUAUAUGGAGGAACACCAGUGGCGAAGGCGGCUCUCUGGUCUGUAACUGACGCUGAGGCUCGAAAGCGUGGGGAGCAAACAGGAUUAGAUACCCUGGUAGUCCACGCCGUAAACGAUGAGUGCUAAGUGUUGGAGGGUUUCCGCCCUUCAGUGCUGCAGCAAACGCAUUAAGCACUCCGCCUGGGGAGUACGACCGCAAGGUUGAAACUCAAAGGAAUUGACGGGGGCCCGCACAAGCGGUGGAGCAUGUGGUUUAAUUCGAAGCAACGCGAAGAACCUUACCAGGUCUUGACAUCCUUUGACCACUCUAGAGAUAGAGCUUUCCCUUCGGGGACAAAGUGACAGGUGGUGCAUGGUUGUCGUCAGCUCGUGUCGUGAGAUGUUGGGUUAAGUCCCGCAACGAGCGCAACCCUUAUUGUUAGUUGCCAUCAUUUAGUUGGGCACUCUAGCGAGACUGCCGGUGACAAACCGGAGGAAGGUGGGGAUGACGUCAAAUCAUCAUGCCCCUUAUGACCUGGGCUACACACGUGCUACAAUGGGAAGUACAACGAGUCGCUAGACCGCGAGGUCAUGCAAAUCUCUUAAAGCUUCUCUCAGUUCGGAUUGCAGGCUGCAACUCGCCUGCAUGAAGCCGGAAUCGCUAGUAAUCGCGGAUCAGCACGCCGCGGUGAAUACGUUCCCGGGCCU